UGAAGUGAAGACACGUAUACAGCUUCUGCAUUAUGGCCACAUGCUGUAUUGAGAAAAGGUUUAUAGUGCUGCACGAUUCUGUCUCUAUCUUUAAUGUGCUGUAAUAUAGAACACUCGUAUAUCUCCCAAGCCAAAAAAAAAAAAGACUUCUUUCUCAAUAACAGAUCAGCUGUCAGGGAAUGAAUCAGACCCUGACGAUGUUCCUGCUGCUGCUGCUACUCCUGCCCCUGUCCCUUCCGCUGGCCCUGCCCCAAGACCACCGAGCGGGAUGAAGAGGAAGAGAACCAGUGGGGUACCAGAUGGGAACACCCAGAUACAGGAGGCCAUCCUCCAGGCCCUGCAGAGGGAUGGACAGUUGUGUGCAGACGCACAGUUUUUGAACGGCCUACUUCCUUCCCUGAAGAGAUUGCCACCAGCCACAAAGGAGUAUGUGAAAUUCCAAAUUCACAAAGUCAUAUUUGACGCCACCCAAUUCACCCUUAAUUUGGAACCUGUCUAAUUAUGCUCCUGCUUAUUAGCUAGAGUGGUGGUGACAAUCUCUCUAGGGAAAGAACUGGGCUGCUGUGACUAAAAAAGAAGCUGUUUGUUAGUUAGGUAAAUCCUUUCUCACAAACGGCUUCUUUUUUACGCAGAUGUUAAUGUUCUUGUUCUUGUGUUCUGUUUUAUAUUUAUAAUAUAUUGUUCUAUGUUGUUUUGUUAGUCGUUUUGUGAAUAAAAUAUUUUUAAGAACU